rnacentral:rRNA from 1 species
ACUGAGACACGGCCCAGACUCCUACGGGAGGCAGCAGUGGGGAAUUUUGGACAAUGGGCGAAAGCCUGAUCCAGCAAUGCCGCGUGUGUGAAGAAGGCCUUCGGGUUGUAAAGCACUUUUGUCCGGAAAGAAGUGGCUCUGGUUAAUACCUGGGGUCGAUGACGGUACCGGAAGAAUAAGGACCGGCUAACUACGUGCCAGCAGCCGCGGUAAUACGUAGGGUCCAAGCGUUAAUCGGAAUUACUGGGCGUAAAGCGUGCGCAGGCGGUUGUGCAAGACCGAUGUGAAAUCCCCGAGCUUAACUUGGGAAUUGCAUUGGUGACUGCACGGCUAGAGUGUGUCAGAGGGGGGUAGAAUUCCACGUGUAGCAGUGAAAUGCGUAGAGAUGUGGAGGAAUACCGAUGGCGAAGGCAGCCCCCUGGGAUAACACUGACGCUCAUGCACGAAAGCGUGGGGAGCAAACAGGAUUAGAUACCCUGGUAGUCCACGCCCUAAACGAUGUCAACUAGUUGUUGGGGAUUCAUUUCCUUAGUAACGUAGCUAACGCGUGAAGUUGACCGCCUGGGG